UACGUAGGGUGCGAGCGUUGUCCGGAAUUAUUGGGCGUAAAGGGUUCGUAGGUGGCCUACUAAGUCAUACGUGAAAUCCCUCAGCUUAACUGGGGAACUGCGUCUGAGACUGGAAGGCUUGAGUGCAGGAGAGGAACGCGGAAUUCCAGGUGUAGCGGUGAAAUGCGUAGAUAUCUGGAGGAACACCGGUGGCGAAGGCGGCGUUCUGGACUGCAACUGACACUGAGGAACGAAAGCCAGGGGAGCAAACGGG
rnacentral:rRNA from 1 species